UACGUAGGGUGCAAGCGUUGUCCGGAAUUAUUGGGCGUAAAGAGCUCGUAGGCGGUUUGUUGCGUCGACUGUGAAAUCCCCGAGGCUCAACCUCGGGUCUGCAGUCGAUACGAGCAAACUAGAGUGUUGCAGGGGAGACUGGAAUUCCUGGUGUAGCGGUGAAAUGCGCAGAUAUCAGGAGGAACACCGGUGGCGAAGGCGGGUCUCUGGGCAACAACUGACGCUGGAGGAAGCGAAAGCGUGGGGGAGCGAACAGG
rnacentral:rRNA from 1 species